rnacentral:rRNA from 1 species
ACUGAACGCUGGCGGCAGGCCUAACACACGCAAGUCGAGCGGAGCGGCGGACGGGCGAGUAAUGCCUAGGAAUAUGCUUGGUAGUGGGGGAUAACGCCCGGAACCGGGCGCUCAUACCGCAUACUAUCAGAUGAGCCUAGGUCGGAUUAGCUAGUUGGUGGGGUAAAGGCCUACCAAGUCGACGAUCCGUAACUGGUCUGAGAGGAUGAUCAGUAAUCCUGGAGCUGCAACACGGUCCAAACUCCUGCGGGUGGCAGCAAUGGGGAAUAUUGGACAAUGGGCGAAAGCCUGAUCCAGUCAUGCCGCGUGUGUGAAAAAGGUCUUCGGAUUGUAAAGCCCUUUAAGUUGGGAGGCGUUACCAACAGAAUAAGCGCCGGCUAACUUCGUGCCAGCAGCCGCGGUAAUAC